UCAGACGAUGCGUCAUGCAUAUCAAUAAGCGGAGGAAAAGAAACUAACAAGGAUUCCCCUAGUAACGGCGAGUGAAGCGGGAAGAGCUCAAAUUUGAAAUCUUAAAGGGUUUCCCUUUACGAAUUGUAGUUUAAAGAAGUGUUUUCUGUUGAGGUUUUGGUAAAAGUUCUUUGGAAUAGGACAUCAUAGAGGGUGAGAAUCCCGUAUUUGACCUUUACUUUCAACUUUGUGAUACACUUUCAAAGAGUCGGAUUGUUUGGGAAUGCAGUCCAAAAUGGGUGGUAAAUUUCAUCUAAAGCUAAAUAUUGGCGAGAGACCGGUAGCGAACAAGUACCGUGAGGGAAAGAUGAAAAGAACUUUGAAAAGAGAGUUAAACAGUACGUGAAAUUGUCAAAAGGGAAGCGUUUGACACCAGUGUUGUUUUUCUGAAAAUCAAUUAAAGAACUGUUUAUGCUAAGCUGUUUAGACUUUAUCAGCUAUCUGUUUAGUUUUGAGCUUCUCUUUAAUGCACUUUUCAGUUAACAAGUCAACAUCAAUUUCUUUUGCUGUAAAAAAGCUUGAGGAAGGUGGCUUGAGAUUCGUCUUAAGUGUUUAUAGCCUCUUGCCUAUGCAGUCGGAGAGAUUGAGGUCUGCAGCGUAGAUCCUUCGGGGCUAAAUGCAUUUGUGCUAAGUUAUAGCAUUUUAUAGACAACUUGUUGACUAUGAUUUGUCUUGUAGCUUACUCGCUUAUGUUAUUUUACCUACGCUUAGGAUGUUGACACACGCGCGUGCUCG
rnacentral:rRNA from 1 species